AGAGUUUGAUCCUGGCUCAGGAUGAACGCUAGCGGGAGGCUUAACACAUGCAAGUCGAGCGGGAUUUAGUAGCUUGCUACUAAUGAGAGCGGCGCACGGGUGAGUAACGCGUAUGCAACCUACCUUUUACAGGGGAAUAGCCCAGAGAAAUUUGGAUUAAUACCUCAUAGUACAUAGAAUUCGCAUGAUUUCUAUGUUAAAGCUUCGGCGGUAAAAGAUGGGCAUGCGUGACAUUAGAUUGUUGGCGGGGUAACGGCCCACCAAGUCUACGAUGUCUAGGGGUUCUGAGAGGAUGAUCCCCCACACUGGUACUGAGACACGGACCAGACUCCUACGGGAGGCAGCAGUGAGGAAUAUUGGUCAAUGGGCGCAAGCCUGAACCAGCCAUCCCGCGUGAAGGAAGACUGCCCUAUGGGUUGUAAACUUCUUUUAUGUACCAAGAAUGUGAUCUACGAGUAGAUUUUUGACGGUAGUACAUGAAUAAGCAUCGGCUAACUCCGUGCCAGCAGCCGCGGUAAUACGGAGGAUGCGAGCGUUAUCCGGAUUCAUUGGGUUAAGGGUGCGUAGGCGGUUUCUUAGUCAGUGGUGAAAUCUGCGCUCACCGUAGAACUGCCAUUGAAACUGAGCAACUUGAAUAUAGAUGAGGUAGGCGGAAUGAGUAGUGUAGCGGUGAAAUGCUUAGAUAUACUCAGAACACCGAUGCGAAGGCAGCUUACUAAACUAUCAUUGACGCUGAUGCACGAAAGCGUGGGUAGCGAACAGGAUUAGAUACCCUGGUAGUCCACGCCGUAAACGAUGUUCACUCGCUGUAUGCGAUACACAGUAUGCGGCCAAGCGAAAGUAUUAAGUGAACCACCUGGGGAGUACGUCGGCCAACGGUGAAACUCAAAGGAAUUGACGG
rnacentral:rRNA from 1 species